rnacentral:rRNA from 1 species
GACGAACGCUGGCGGCGUGCCUAAUACAUGCAAGUUGAGCGCUGAAGGUUGGUACUUGUACCAACUGGAUGAGCAGCGAACGGGUGAGUAACGCGUGGGGAAUCUGCCUUUGAGCGGGGGACAACAUUUGGAAACGAAUGCUAAUACCGCAUAAAAACUUUAAACACAAGUUUUAAGUUUGAAAGAUGCAAUUGCAUCACUCAAAGAUGAUCCCGCGUUGUAUUAGCUAGUUGGUGAGGUAAAGGCUCACCAAGGCGAUGAUACAUAGCCGACCUGAGAGGGUGAUCGGCCACAUUGGGACUGAGACACGGCCCAAACGCCUACGGGAGGCAGCAGUAGGGAAUCGUCGGCAAGGGACGAAAGUCUGACCGAGCAACGCCGCGGGAGUGAAGAAGGUUUUCGGAUCGUAAAACUCGGUUGGUAGAGAAGAACGUUGGUGAGAGUGGAAAGCUCAUCAAGUGACGGUAACUACCCAGAAAGGGACGGCUAACUACGUG